rnacentral:lncRNA from 1 species
GCAUGUGCAUCUCAUAUUAGCAAAUGGCAAAUUCUUUUAAGAAUAUUGUUUAUUUAAUUUUGCAAUAGAGAGCUACUAUUUUUUCCUAGUUUAAUAUCUACUAGUGGUAAUAAAAUCAUAUGGAUGGAAGAAUACACAAGGUGUAGAUGGAUUGAGUUAAUGGCUAUAUAGCUGGCUCUGUACACUUAGUCAGAGAAGUGGCUCAGAAUUAUAUUGGUUGCAGUGAGUGUAGUGUAUUGUGUGGGUCACUUUAUUACAAAACAUAAACAAAAGUAACACUUUGAUCAAGUUGGAGGAACUCGAUGGCCAUGCUUGUUGGUGAUUGAAACACAUCUAGGACACCUUGAUUUUGACUUGUCAAUAUUUUUCAGAUUUUCAGGUACAUGUUUCAAGCAACCUUGGAGUCUUUCUGCAAUAAAUAAUGACAAAGUAUUUUUAUUAUUCUUCAACUUCUAAUAGCAAGAGAUUUUUAUGGUUUAAGUAGAGUUUAAUAUCUAUACAUAAUUAGUAUAUAGUUUUUUAUACAAUUAAUAUACUUAUCAUAUAUUUAUUUAUUGCUUUUGUUCAAGAGUUAAGGAUAAUUAAGAUAUUAAUAAUAUAUUAAUAAUAUGCUGAUGUUGUAAAAUCACUUAUGCUCUAAUCAUACAUAUUAAUUCAUCUGAAGUGUCAAUUCUCAUCCUCUUUUCCUUGUAAAAGGAAAAGAAAAUUUUGCUGGUUACUCACAUGUGCUUAUAUUUUUUAUACAACUAAGUAAAUCAUCUCAUUUUAUUCUAUGAAUAAAAGAAUUAAUCUAUUUGUCUUUAGCCUUUUAGCCUAUUUUUGAUCUAGGGAGUUUUUACACCAUUAAAUAACACUUUGGUAAUUCAUGUAUGCUUAUAUACUAACAAUGUUAAAUGUAUCUCACCACACAUGAUUUUUAUAUAAUUUUUGUUAGCCAGUUGAAUAUACAUACUAUACUUUUGUAGAAUUAUAAUAAUAAUAAAAAUUAAAUUUACAUAAAUUAUAGUGAUUUGUGUCACUGUAAACAGGAAAUAUUAAAUUUGUAGUUCCAUAAAAAGGCAGUAUGUAAAUAAUUAAUACAUUUGUGAUUGUUUUUAUAGUUUUGCAGAGCCUAUUAAAAUAUUAGACGUGCAAUUGGAGUCAGAAAUCCUGCAUUCUUGUCGAUCACAAUACCGGGGCCUGACCCAGAGGUUGGAACUUGAAUCUACUAUAAUAACGUUGUAAUGUUUACAUUAAAAUCUGGAGACUCAAAAUCUACACACUUUUUUCUCUUCAAUCUUAUUUUACCCAAAAUUCAUUUAAAAGUAAGAGAAAAAAAUAUAUCCACUAAUAGUAUAUGUGUUUUAUAUAUUGUUAUUUUAUCAUUCAUUAUUUAUUUUUAAUCACCAUUUUCAAAAACAAUAAUACAAAUACAUAGUGAAUGAUAUAUUGAUUAUGUAUAAAUAUUUAUACUGAUAAUAUAUAAAUAUCACAUUCUAAAAAUAAUAUGUUAGACAGAUUGGACCUCCAGGUAUUUGGGCAAUGUGAAAAGCUGAGGUUAAAAUCCCC